rnacentral:rRNA from 1 species
ACGCUCGACACCUACGGAGGCAGCAGUAGGGAAUCUUCCACAAUGGGCGCAAGCCUGAUGGAGCAACACCGCGUGAGUGAAGAAGGGUUUCGGCUCGUAAAGCUCUGUUGUUGGAGAAGAACGUGCGUGAGAGUAACUGUUCACGCAGUGACGGUAUCCAACCAGAAAGUCACGGCUAACUACGCGCCAGCAGCCGCGGUAAUCUGAGCGGGCUGGCAAGGC